rnacentral:rRNA from 1 species
GACGAACGCUGGCGGCGUGCUUAACACAUGCAAGUCGAACGAUGAAGCUAGAGCUUGCUCUGGUGAAUUAGUGGCGAACGGGUGAGUAACACGUGAGUAACCUGCCCCGAACUCUGGGAUAACUGCUGGAAACGGUAGCUAAUACUGGAUACGACCUACGAAGGCAUCUUCUGUAGGUGGAAAGAAUUUCGGUUCGGGAUGGACUCGCGGCCUAUCAGCUUGUUGGUGAGGUAAUGGCUCACCAAGGCGACGACGGGUAGCCGGCCUGAGAGGGUGACCGGCUACACUGGGACUGAGACACGGCCCAGACUCCUACGGGAGGCAGCAGUGGGGAAUAUUGCGCAAUGGGCGAAAGCCUGACGCAGCAACGCCGCGUGCGGGAUGACGGCCUUCGGGUUGUAAACCUCUUUUAGUAGGGAAGAAGCGAAAGUGACGGUACCUGCAGAAAAAGCACCGGCUAACUACGUGCCAGCCGCCGCUGUAA